rnacentral:rRNA from 1 species
CAAGCGGUGGAGCAUGUGGUUUAAUUCGAUGCAACGCGAAGAACCUUACCUGGUCUUGACAUCCACGGAAGUUUUCAGAGAUGAGAAUGUGCCUUCGGGAACCGUGAGACAGGUGCUGCAUGGCUGUCGUCAGCUCGUGUUGCGAAAUGUUGGGUUAAGUCCCGCAACGAGCGCAACCCUUAUCCUUUGUUGCCAGCGGUCCGGCCGGGAACUCAAAGGAGACUGCCAGUGAUAAACUGGAGGAAGGUGGGGAUGACGUCAAGUCAUCAUGGCCCUUACGACCAGGGCUACACACGUGCUACAAUGGCGCAUACAAAGAGAAGCGACCUCGCGAGAGCAAGCGGACCUCAUAAAGUGCGUCGUAGUCCGGAUUGGAGUCUGCAACUCGACUCCAUGAAGUCGGAAUCGCUAGUAAUCGUGGAUCAGAAUGCCACGGUGAAUACGUUCCCGGGCCUUGUACACACC